AGUGAACGCUGGCGGUAGGCCUAACACAUGCAAGUCGAACGGCAGCACAGUAAGAGCUUGCUCUUACGGGUGGCGAGUGGCGGACGGGUGAGGAAUACAUCGGAAUCUACUUUUUCGUGGGGGAUAACGUAGGGAAACUUACGCUAAUACCGCAUACGACCUACGGGUGAAAGCAGGGGAUCUUCGGACCUUGCGGGAUUGAAUGAGCCGAUGUCGGAUUAGCUAGUUGGCGGGGUAAAGGCCCACCAAGGCGACGAUCCGUAGCUGGUCUGAGAGGAUGAUCAGCCACACUGGAACUGAGACACGGUCCAGACUCCUACGGGAGGCCGCAGUGUGGAAUAUUGGACAAUGGGCGCAAGCCUGAUCCAGCCAUACCGCGUGGGUGAAGAAGGCCUUCGGGUUGUAAAGCCCUUUUGUUGGGAAAGAAAAGCAGCAGGUUAAUACCCCGCUGUUCUGACGGUACCCAAAGAAUAAGCACCGGCUAACUUCGUG
rnacentral:rRNA from 1 species